rnacentral:misc_RNA from 1 species
AAGUCGUAACAAGGUUUCCGUAGGUGAACCUGCGGAAGGAUCAUUAACACGUAUCCAAACGUUAAACCCCCCUGUGAACCUUCAGUGUACUCGUACGUCCGUUAGAAAAAGCAGCAAUCCCUGGUAAAUCAUCGCCGAACAGUUUUCGAUUCAGGGACGUCUGCAAGGAGCGUGCAUGUUGUGCGAAGCAAGUGGCCUGGCAUCCCCAAGCAGUUAGUGUCUGAAAGUGUCAUUAACUGUGUAAGGAUGACGCAGUCACGAUCGGAGGCCACGGCCGACGACCGGCCCUAUAACAAACGCUGCUAAUCGCGGCCGCGAUAAUACGCAGUCGACCAAAAACCGAACAACUGUUAACAAUGGAUAUCUUGGUUCUC